rnacentral:lncRNA from 1 species
AUCUGUCAGGCCGUGGUCGUGGCCGCUUCAGACUGCUGUACCUUAGUGGCUUUGCUUUACAAUGAUGGAAUUCUAAAUUUAAGACUAAAUUUUUGCCCCCAAAGGUAAACGAGGUGAAAGUUUUUGCUUAGUAUUUUACUUGACAUGAGAACUGAUUAUAUAAGGAAACUGACACCUGCAGGUGGCAGCCUGGUCUUGUGUCUGGUUAAGAAGAUGACACCGUGCAUGUGUUGCUCUGGAUGUGUAGUGUGUGAAGGACAACAAAGCGUGGAAGAUGGGAUUGCUGGUGAGAAAGGGACUGGGCCUCAGAGGACAGGAAGGAUGCAAAUGCAAGAAGGGGACCAGGUGAGCCCAGCAGACAGCGGGGUUGAUGGGGUGUCUCUUGUGCUAACAUUUCUGGGCUCGUACCUGUGCCAGGCACCAGGGUGGAGGCUGGAGAGUGUGGUGUGA